CUUCCCGCAGCUCGCGCUCUGAUUGGCUGCAGCCGCUCGGGGGCGUGGCCUCCUCAGGCCCCUCCUCCUGGGCUGGGCCCCCCCAAAAAAGGGGGGGGAGGGGAAGGGGGGGGGAGCAGCCCCGCCACCAAAAUGCGGUAAUUAGCACCCCAAUUAAUUAAUUAACACCCCAAUUAGCUCAUUAGCACCCCAAUUAAUUAAUUACCACCCUAAUCAAUUAAUUAGCACCCCUAAUCAGUUCAUUAGCACCCUUAAUGAGAUAAUUAGCACCCCAUUUAAUUCAUUAGCAUCCCUAAUUAAUUAAUUAGCACCCCAUUUAAUUCAUUAGCAUCCCUAAUUAAUUAAUUAGCACCCCAUUUAAUUCAUCAGCAUCCCUAAUUAAUUAAUUAGCAACCCAAUUAACACCCAAAAAUCCCCAAAAUCAACACAUGAAAUUAAUUAGCAGCCCAAAUCAGCGCUGGGAAUUAAUUAGUGCCCCAAAUUAGCACCCCAAAAUUAAUUAGAACCAAAAAUCAGCACCCAGAACCCCCAGUCAGCACCGGAAGUUAAUUAGCGCCCCAAAUUAGCGCUGGAAAUUAAUUAGCAACCCCCAAAUCAGCAGCCAGCACCCAAAAGUGGGAGCCAAAAUCAAAUCCCAAAUUAAAUCCCAAAUCAAAUCCGGGGAUCAGCACCCAGGGAACGCGACCCCAAAUCCCAGGAAAGGAUUUUUUGGGAGAGUGAGACCCCAAAUCCCGGGAAAAGCUGGGAAUGAGCCCCCAAAUCCCUGCAGGGAUCCCAUCAGGCCGUGCAGGGAAUUCCCAAAAAUUCCCAUCCCAAAUCCCCAAAAAUUCCUGCUCCAAAUCCCCAAAAAUUCCUGCCCAAAUUCCCAAAAAUUCCCGCCCCAAAUUCCCAAAAUUCCUGCUCCAAAUCUCCCAAAAUUCCCGCCCCAAAUUCCCAAAAAUUCCCAUCCCAAAUUCCCAAAAUUCCCACCCCAAAUCCCCCAAAAUUCCUGCUCUAAAUUCCCCCAAUUCCUGCCCAAAAUUCCCAAAAAUUCCUGCUCCAAAUUCCCAAAAAUUCCCACCCCAAAUUCCCAAAAUUCCUGCCCCAAAUUCCCAAAAAUUCCCAUCCCAAAUUCCCAAAAAUUCCCAUCCCAAAUUCCCAAAAUUCCCACCCCAAAUCCCCCAAAAUUCCUGCUCCAAAUUCCCAAAAAUUCCCAUCCCAAAUCCCCAAAAAUUCCCACCCCAAAUCCCCAAAACUCCUGCUCCAAAUUCCCAAAAUUUCCAUCCCAAAUUCCCGAUUUUCACCCCAAAAUUCCCGCCCCAAAUUCCCGAUUUUCACCCCAAAAUUCCCGUCCCAAAUUCCCGACUUUUACCCCAAAUUCCCGCCCCAAAUUCCCGAUUUUCACCCCAAAAUUCCCGUCCCAAGCCCCUCCCCCGUUACCUUUCCGCUUGAUUUGGAUCCCGCUGGGCUCCGGCUCUUCCCGGGAUUCCCGGCCGGACACCGGGAAUUCCUGCCUGGACACUGGGAAUUCCUGUUUGGACCCCGGGAAUUCCUGUUUGGAGCCCGGGAAUUCCCAGCUGGAUGUGGCUGAAUCCCAGCUGGACAUUGGGAAUUCCUGUUUGGAGCCCGGGAAUUCCCGGCCGGACAUUGGGAAUUCCCGGCUGGAUGUGGCUGAAUCCCGGCCGGACCCUGGGAAUUCCUGUUUGGAGCCCGGGAAUUCCCGGCCGGAGCCCGGGAGCGCCGCUCCGGCCAGCGAGGCCGUGGGGGUGACGUCAUCGUCGGGACGGGGAUCCCGGCCCGGCCGGAGCCUCCGGACAAUCAGGAGCCGCAGGGUCUCCACUGGGAACGGAAAACAGGGAAAACAGGGAAAUUCCAGAGGGAAAACCCCGGGAUUGGGAAAUUCCAGGGAAAUUCCAGGGGAAAAAUCCCGGGAUUGGGAAAUUCCAGGGGGAAAAACCCCGGGAUUGGGAAAUUCCAGGGAAAUUCCAAGGGGAAAAAUCCCGGGAUUGGGAAAUUCCAGGGGGAAAAAUCCCGGGAUUGGGAAAUUCCGGGAAAUUCCAGAGGGAAAAAUCCCGGGAUUGGGAAAUUCCAGGGGGAAAACCCCGGGAUUGGGAAAUUCCAGGGAAAUUCCAGGGGGAAAACCCCGGGAUUGGGAAAACAGGGAAAUUCCAGGGGGAAAAACCCCGGGAUUGGGAAAUUCCAGAGGGAAAAAUCCCGGGAUUGGGAAAUUCUGGGAAAUUCCAGAGGGAAAAAUUGGGAAUUUGGGAAUUUGGGAAUUUGGGAAUUCGGGAUUUUGGGAAUUUGGGAUUUUGGGAUUUUGGGAAUCCGGGAUUUUGGGAAUUUGGGAAUUCGGGAAUUUGGGAAUUCGGGAAUUUGGGAUUUUGGGAAUUUGGGAUUUUGGAAAUUUGGGAUUUUGGGAAUUUGGGAAUUUGGGAAUCUGGGAAUUUGGGAAUUUGGGAUUUUGGGAAUUUGGGAAUCCGGGAAUUUGGGAAUUCGGGAAUUUGGGAAUUUGGGAAUUCGGGAUUUGGGGAUUUGGGGAUUUUGGGAAUUUGGGAAUCCGGGAUUUUGGGAAACCGGGAAUUUGGGAAUUUGGGAUUUUGGGAUUUUGGGAAUUUGGAAAUUUGGGAUUUGGGGAAUUCGAGAUUUUGGGAAUUCGAGAUUUUGGGAAUUUGGGAAUCCGGGAUUUUGGGAAUUUGGGAAUUUGGGAUUUUGGGAAUUUGGGAAUUCGGGAAUUUGGGAAUCCGGGAUUUUGGGAAUUUUGGGAAUUCGGGAUUUUGGGAAUCCGGGAUUUUGGGAAUUCGGGAAUCUGGGAAUCCGGGAAUUUGGGAAUUUGGGUUUCCCCAGCUCUCACCGUCCUCCAGCGCCGCCUGGGCCACUCCUCCGGCGCUUCCCGGGGAUUUGGGGAUUCCCGGGAUCCCGGCCCCGCCCGGCUCCGAUG
rnacentral:lncRNA from 1 species